rnacentral:rRNA from 1 species
AGAGUUUGAUUCUGGCUCAGAACGAACGCUGGUGGCGUGUUUUAUACAUGCAAGUCGAGCGAGGACGGUAGCAAUACCGAGCCGAGCGGCGAACGGGUGAGUAACGCGUAAGCAAUCUGCCCCACAAUCGGGAACAACCGUGCCAACGCGCGGCUAAUGCCGGAUAUUGUAGUCUACUGCAUAGUAGGCCAACGAAAGAUUUAUUGUUGUGGGAUGAGCUUGCGUCCGAUUAGCUAGUUGGCGGGGUAAUAGCCCACCAAGGCGACGAUCGGUAGCCGGCCUGAGAGGGUGAUCGGCCACAUUGGGACUGAGAUACGGCCCAGACUCCUACGGGAGGCAGCAGUAGGGAAUAUUGCGCAAUGGGGGGAACCCUGACGCAAGCAACGCCACGUGUGGGAAGAAGCAUUUCGGUGUGUAAACCACUGUCGGAAAGGAAUAACGGAAGACUUCGGUCUUUAUGAAUGUACUUUUAGAGGAAGCACCGGCAAACUUCGUGCCAGCCGCCGC